AUUGAACGCUGGCGGCAGGCCUAACACAUGCCAGUCGAACGGUAACAGGAAGCAGCUUGCUGCUUCGCUGACGAGUGGCGGACGGGUGAGAAAUGUCUGGGAAGCUGCCUGAUGGAGGGGGAUAACUACUGGAAACGGUAGCUAAUACCGCAUAAUGUCGCAAGACCAAAGAGGGGGAGCUUCGGGCCUCUUGCCAUCGGAUAUGCCCAGAUGGGAUUAGCGUGUUGGUGGGGGAACGGCUCACCAAGGCGACGAUCCCUAGCUGGUCUGAGAGGAUGAGCAGCCACACUGGAACUGAGACACGGUCCAGACUCCUACGGGAGGCAGCAGUGGGGAAUAUUGCACAAUGGGCGCAAGCCUGAUGCAGCCAUGCCGCGUGUAUGAAGAAGGCCUUCGGGUUGUAAAGUACUUUCAGCGGGGAGGAAGGGAGUAAAGUUAAUACCUUUGCUCAUUGACGUUACCCGCAGAAGAAGCACCGGCUAACUCCGUG
rnacentral:rRNA from 1 species